rnacentral:sRNA from 25 species
GUCAACACCCCUGCCUAAAGGCUAGGGGCUUCUAGCCUCAAACUUUUAGGAUUAGUUGACCAGACUUAGAACCUUGUGUUCUACGUUAACGGCAAGUGUUUAAGUUCCUACCUUGGGAUGCGAAGCUAGUUCCAAGCUCUAGA